rnacentral:piRNA from 1 species
CUUAAAGACGGAGAAAUCCCCUGUUUGCAAG